rnacentral:rRNA from 1 species
UACGGAGGUAGCUAGCGUUGUUCGGAAUUACUGGGCGUAAAGCGCACGUAGGCGGCUUUGUAAGUCAGGGGUGAAAGCCUGGAGCUCAACUCCAGAACUGCCUUUGAGACUGCAUCGCUCGAAUCCGGGAGAGGUGAGUGGAAUUCCGAGUGUAGAGGUGAAAUUCGUAGAUAUUCGGAAGAACACCAGUGGCGAAGGCGGCUCACUGGACCGGUAUUGACGCUGAGGUGCGAAAGCUUGGGGAGCAAACCGG